rnacentral:lncRNA from 10 species
CCACGUGCCCAUCCCUGGAGACCAGGAGUGAGAUCUGCUCUACGCCAACCACAUGAACUAUGAGACAGGGGAAUAGUGGCCCCUAAAGGAAAAUCUAGGUGCUAUUACCAGAAAAGAAGGAAAGAAAUGUUGAGCAGACAAAAACAGCAGAGGUCUGCACAGAUGGGAAGAUGCUUUCUUUAUGCUGACACUGGGGAUAAAAUAAAUGCUCAAAGAAGGCACAGUACAAAAACUUACUCAGGUAGGAUAUAUAGUGAAGCUUUUAGACUAAGUCGUUGCCAGUGAUUAACGGAAGCUUUUUCUUAGUCAUUUCAUCUUUCAAAAUAGAGGGGAAACUGGGAGUCUGGAAUUAGCACUCAUUGUUUGACUGUUCAAAGGCCUGGUAUAGUUUGAUGCUCAGGUACCUCAUAUUCAACAAGAAAUGAAAACCUUGGAGUGAGAAGGACCCUCUUUCACCCUCCUCUGUGCUGUGGGAUGCCAAGGCUUACAGAGCACCACAACUCCCCCAGCCUCUGGCUUCCGCUUGCUCUCAGCUGCUGGAGUUCUGGCUGGAGACGGAAGGGCGGGAGGAAAGUGAGGCUGGAGUGUUUGUUCCCAAGGCGACCUUCCUGCAAAACCACAGCUCCUUUCAGGGAGCCUUCUCGCACAGCUACGGCGACCCUUGCAGCUCUGCCUGGGUUCUGUUUCAGUUUCCAAAGAUGUUCAUUUUUACUUGACUCACUGAGGAACUGUGUUGCUAACGAUCAUGGAUACAAAUGAGUUUUUCCUUCAAAUAUAUAAAAUGAGAAGUUUUCCUGCAUCCUUACAUGUGAUUUUUAUUAGACCCAGUGCCCAGGAAUUCUUCCAGUGAAAUCCAACUUGAUUUCAAAAUAGAAAAACUGGAUUCCCUUCACAGACUCUUUGCUUGGCUACAAACUGUUGAAGCAACCGUGCUUCCUUCAGAGAGGCGGGUUGUCCAGUGCAGAGAUGAAGAGCUGGCUGCAGAGACAGGCCUUUCGGGUUUGAAUCAGGCUUCGCAGUCUCUCGAGCUGCAGGUUCGUGGGCAAGCAAGGGAACCACUCAAGGUUCAACUUUCUCAUCUGUAAAAUGAAGAUCAUGACAGUACCUAUCUCCUGUUAGUUUGUUGUGGGAUCGUGUUAAAUAAGUUAACAUAGUAAAGCAUUUCGACUAAUGUGCUAACAUAAACCUAGUAUGACAUAAAACCUAACGUUUUAUUUUCUCAAUAAGUACUAGCUGCUGCUGCUUGUUGCUGUAACAAAAAAAAAAAAUAACAUCUAACUUCU